GACGAACCGUCCAAACGUUAUUCGGAAUCACUGGGCUUAAAGGGUGCGUAGGCGGCGCGGAAAGUUGGGUGUGAAAUCCCUCGGCUCAACCGAGGAACUGCGCCCAAAACUGCCGUGCUCGAGGGAGAUAGAGGUGAGCGGAACUUAGGGUGGAGCGGUGAAAUGCGUUGAUAUCCUAAGGAACACCGGUGGCGAAAGCGGCUCACUGGAUCUCUUCUGACGCUGAGGCACGAAAGCUAGGGUAGCGAACGGG
rnacentral:rRNA from 2 species